rnacentral:rRNA from 1 species
AUUGAACGCUGGCGGCAGGCCUAACACAUGCAAGUCGAGCGGAUGAAGGGAGCUUGCUCCUGGAUUCAGCGGCGGACGGGUGAGUAAUGCCUAGGAAUCUGCCUGGUAGUGGGGGAUAACGUCCGGAAACGGGCGCUAAUACCGCAUACGUCCUGAGGGAGAAAGAGGGGGAUCAUCGGACCGCACGCUAUCAGAUGAGCCUAGGUCGGAUUAGCUAGUUGGUGGGGUAAAGGCCUACCAAGGCGACGAUCCGUAACUGGUCUGAGAGGAUGAUCAGUCACACUGGAACUGAGACACGGUCCAGACUCCUACGGGAGGCAGCAGUGGGGAAUAUUGGACAAUGGGCGAAAGCCUGAUCCAGCCAUGCCGCGUGUGUGAAGAAGGUCUUCGGAUUGUAAAGCACUUUAAGUUGGGAGGAAGGGCAGUAAGUUAAUACCUUGCUGUUUUGACGUUACCAACAGAAUAAGCACCGGCUAACUUCGUG